rnacentral:rRNA from 1 species
CCUACGGGAGGCAGCAGUGGGGGAUAUUGCACAAUGGGGGGAACCCUGAUGCAGCGACGCCGCGUGGGUGAAGGAGUGCUUCGGCAUGUAAAGCCCUAUCGGCAGGGAAGAAGCAAGACGGUACCUGACUAAGAAGCCCCGGCGAACUACGUGCCAGCAGCCGCGGUAAUACGUAGGGGGCGAGCGUUAUCCGGAUUCACUGGGUGUAAAGGGAGCGUAGACGGCCAUGCAAGCCAUGGGUGAAAGCCCGGGGCCCAACCCCGGGACUGCCCUUGGAACUGUGCGGCUAGAGUGCGGGAGGGGCAGGCGGAAUUCCUGGUGUAGCGGUGAAAUGCGUAGAUAUCAGGAGGAACACCGGCGGCGAAGGCGGCCUGCUGGACCGCGACUGACGUUGAGGCUCGAAAGCGUGGGGAGCGAACAGGAUUAGAUACCCCGGUAGUC